GGGAUAGCCUUUCGAAAGGGAGAUUAAUCCCCCAUAAUAUAUUUAUCGGCAUCGAUGAAUAUUGAAAACUCCGGUGGAUAGAGAUGGGCACGCGCAAGAUUAGAUAGUUGGUGAGGUAACGGCUCACCAAGUCUACGAUCUUUAGGGGGCCUGAAAGGGNGAUCCCCCACACUGGUACUGAGACACGGACCAGACUCCUACGGGAGGCAGCAGUGAGGAAUAUUGGACAAUGGGUGAGAGCCUGAUCCAGCCAUAUACGGAGGGUGCCAGCGUUAUCCGGAUUUAUUGGGUUUAAAGGGUCCGUAGGCGGAUCUGUAAGUCAGUGGUGAAAUCUCACAGCUUAACUGUGAAACUGCCAUUGAUACUGCAGGUCUUGAGUGUUGUUGAAGUAGCUGGAAUAAGUAGUGUAGCGGUGAAAUGCAUAGAUAUGUCUUAGAACACCAAUUGCGAAGGCAGGUUACUAAGCAACAACUGACGCUGAUGCACGAAAGCGUGGGGAGCGAACAGGAUUAGAUACCCUGGUAGUCCACGCCCUAAACGAUGCUGACUCGUUUUUGGCCUUUCGGGUUCAGAGACUAAGCGAAAGUGAUAAGUUAGCCACCUGGGGAGUACGCAAGCAAGUUUGAAACUCAAAGGAAUUGACGGGGGCCCGCACAAGCGGGUGGA
rnacentral:rRNA from 1 species